CUAGAUGGUCCAUCCUUUGCAACCCAAUGUCUCAAACAGAUGUGAAUUUUACACAAAAUUAAUUGCGACCUUAUCCAGGAAGAAAGAAAUCCAACAUUGAGAUAGCUAUCUUCUGUUCCUAGCUCUUUUGGGUCUUUUUUAUCAUAAAAAAAAAUUUCUAAGGCCUUUUUUGGGUCUACUAAGAAAAGAAUGUGAUUUGUAUCCUUAAACCUACUUUAUCAAUCUAUAUCUUUAUUGAUUUGCAUACAUUGAAUCAUAUCCUACAUCCAUAAAUGAACAUAACUUGUUUAUGAUGUAUAAUCCUCUCAGUGUGGUCAGAGAAAUUGGAUUUGUCUAUUUUUCACACUUGAGUGUGUGCCUUGUAUGCAUGUGCUUGCAUGUUCAUACAU
rnacentral:lncRNA from 1 species